rnacentral:lncRNA from 1 species
AUGUGUUAUUACCAUGCUGUACACAGGUACUGCAAAAAUAGACGAAGACAAAGAGACAACAUGGACAGACAGGAGUAUCUGUGUGUGGAAGAAGAGACAACAUGGACAGACAGGAGUAUCUGUGUGUGGAAGAAGAGACAACAUGGACAGACAGGAGUAUCUGUGUGUGGAAGAAGAGACAACAUGGACAAACAGGAGUAUCUGUGUGUAGAAGAAGAGACAACAUGGACAGACAGGAGUAUCUGUGUGUGGAAGAAGAGACAACAUGGACAGACAGGAGUAUCUGUGUGUGGAAGAAGAGACAACAUGGACAGACAGGAGUAUCUGUGUGUGGAAGAAGAAACAACAUGGACAGACAGGAGUAUCUGUGUGUGGAAGAAGAGACAACAUGGACAGACAGGAGUAUCUGUGUGUGGAAGAAGAGACAACAUGGACAGACAGGAGUAUCUGUGUGUGGAAGAAGAAACAACAUGGACAGACAGGAGUAUCUGUGUGUGGAAGAAGAAACAACAUGGACAGACAGGAGUAUCUGUGUGUGGAAGAAGAAACAACAUGGACAGACAGGAGUAUCUGUGUGUGGAAAAAGAGACAACAUGGACAGACAGGAGUAUCUGUGUGUGGAAGAAGAGACAACAUGGACAGACAGGAGCAUCUGUGUGUGGAAGAAGAAACAACAUGGACAGACAGGAGUAUCUGUGUGUGGAAGAAGAAACAACAUGGACAGACAGGAGUAUCUGUGUGUGGAAGAAGAAACAACAUGGACAGACAGGAGUAUCUGUGUGUGGAAGAAGAAACAACAUGGACAGACAGGAGUAUCUGUGUGUGGAAGAAGAAACAACAUGGACAGACAGGAGUAUCUGUGUGUGGAAGAAGAGACAACAUGGACAGACAGGAGUAUCUGUGUGUGGAAGAAGAAACAACAUGGACAGACAGGAGUAUCUGUGUGUGGAAGAAGAGACAACAUGGACAGACAGGAGUAUCUGUGUGUGGAAGAAGAGACAACAUGGACAGACAGGAGUAUCUGUGUGUGGAAGAAGAGACAACAUGGACAGACAGGAGUAUCUGUGUGUGGAAGAAGAAACAACAUGGACAGACAGGAGUAUCUGUGUGUGGAAGAAGAAACAACAUGGACAGACAGGAGUAUCUGUGUGUGGAAGAAGAAACAACAUGGACAGAGAGGAGUAUCUGUGUGUGGAAGAAGAAACAACAUGGACAGACAGGAGUAUCUGUGUGUGGAAGAAGAAACAACAUGGACAGACAGGAGUAUCUGUGUGUGGAAGAAGAAACAACAUGGACAGACAGGAGUAUCUGUGUGUGGAAGAAGAGACAACAUGGACAGACAGGAGUAUCUGUGUGUGGAAGAAGAAACAACAUGGACAGACAGGAGUAUCUGUGUGUGGAAGAAGAGACAACAUGGACAGACAGGAGUAUCUGUGUGUGGAAGAAGAAACAACAUGGACAGACAGGAGUAUCUGUGUGUGGAAGAAGCCAGUAAACCAGUGUGGACACGGACAUGGCAAAAAAGGCAAAUGUUUUGGUAAAUUUUUUAACCGUCAUUUUUUGAAUGUUAUUUCUUGUUUUUACACUUUAUUGCAUAUAGAUGGCUUAGAUUGUUUGUUCCUUUAUUUGUACUUUUUCUGCUACCACCUUUAUGUUUUGUGUUGUAGGGUUUUACAUGCAAAAAAAUGUAACAAAGAUGGCAAAGAUGUCUACAUCUAA